CAAACUCAUCGCAAUAAGGGUAUAAGUCAUUAAAAAACGUGACUGUACGUACACACACACACAGAGAGAGGCACACGCGUGUAUUGCUAUUGUAUGAUCUCGUAAUAAAUACAAAUUUGUUCUCGCGCAUACAAAUGCGACCGCGUUCACACUGCCAGCGACCGACGGAAAACCGUUACGGUUUAUCGAGUACGUAUGGAGGGCGAUACGCGCAGGAUAUGCCGUGGUGUUAUUGAAAACUCGGGUCGGCGGUGAAAAUUUCGCGCGGACAUUUUUUUUGCAAAGGGAGGGGGGG